GUUUUAAUUUGUUUUAUUUUAUUAGAACUUAUGGGUAUUGUUCUUUAUCAUAAUAUACGCUUGUUGCUAUUGAUUAAAAUGUUUUUAUUCCUUAAAGUAUGAUUCAUUGUAUUCAGUUAUAACUUAUGAGCACUGUGCCUCUGUUGGGGUAUCGGUCGGGGUAUCACAUGUCUCACUCCGCACCAGUAGGUGGCAGCACCACAUCACCGCUGACACUGUUAGUUCCGGAAAGCAAAGCAUUGUGGGUGUUUAAUAGUAUAAAUUGCAACGUGUUCCCUCCGUUGGAACGUAGUCGACGGCGAUAGGUCUUAAGAGUAGGGCGCAGUUCGUAGCUCUGAAUAUUUAGUAAAUACUUCUUUUAGUUUGUUACUUUUCAUAUUCGAAAAGAUAACAGCUUGUUGGAUAACCCUAUCCUUAAUAUUUUUUAACACUUUUGACUCCGAGGAAGAUCUUUUUUGUUUUAAACGAAAGCCGCCAAGUCACCCUCGUCGCCAUUUUUUCCUCUACUGCAGUUUUUUGGUCGGAGAUGUGUGUAGAAGCAAUGGACACCAGCUCGAAGAAGUUGAGAAACAGCUGUCUGCGUAAAACCAUGAAACCAGGAUCGAAGCUGAGGUGGAUACGGCCCCGCGUCUUCGCGGAGGACGGUGAGGUGGACGAGGCCUUGAAGCAGUGUCGAGGCAGCGCGUUGAGGACCAUCCGGAAAUACCUUGGGCGGGCGCCGAGGCGGCCGCGGCUGGCUGAUCUGGCUGAACUCCUGGGAGGCAUCGGCGGGAAGGCCAAAAUGGAGUCCGCGCGCGAGGAAGGGCGCGUUGCGGCCUGCGCGCACCGCCAACCGUCGGGGGCAAUGGCGCCGGAAAACACCACGCAGUACCUGAUGGGUAAUGUCUACGAGGACAUGGCGACCGACGACGCGCAGGCGGUUCCGCGCGACACGUCAGCAGACGCGUGCAGUGGCUCUCUUUCAUCACCCACGGUGUGUGCUCCACAGGACUGCGACGAGGACGGCUGCCUUGCCUUCCAACAGCGGGACUUUGAGGAAGCGUUUGAGCUGUAUUGGCAACCGGAAUGAACCGGUCUGCGUGGCCUUGCGUUACUGGUCUGGCCUCGCUUCCAGCUGUGACUUUACGAUAUGGGCAAAGAACAAGCGGCGCACUGGGUGGUGCCCGCACCCUCCCUCCAGUAGGGAGCGCUCCUGAGCACUUCAUGGCGCCGCCUCGAGGAACGAAUCAAACGCACCCUGUCCACGGAUUGUGAAAUCCAGGUAAAGCCGGGCAGGUAUUGUUGCACUGCAUUGUCGAUGACUGGCAACCGUAGUACACUGUGAUGCAUUGUGGGGGACAGCAUUGUGCUGUCCAGUUACUGUUGUCUGAGCGUUUUCCAGGUCAACCUGACGGGACACAUGGCUCUGCCGUGAGAGGAGCAGGAGACCGAGGAGGUUGGUCUUCACGUGAUUGACACAAGGUGACAUUCAAUGCCCAUUGGGUUGUCUAGACUGUUUCCAUGGAGAUGAGUUCGUGGGGGGGGGAUGUGGAAUUCCAGGCAAAGUACUGGAUUUUUUUUUUAAUUCAAUGGUUAAGGUGUGUGUAUAUAAUAUAGUUUAAGUGACACAUGUUCAAUAAAUGAUAUUUUUUAUGACAUCUGAUUGACUCGUCUGUCUGUUUUGCUCAAUGGUACAAUUUCAUGAAGAGAUCGAUUGGCCUUGUGGAAGGUCUGAUACUCAAAUGUUUUUAGUUGAAUCGUGAAUCAAGUUUGCCCACCGCUGGAAGUGGUCCCUGUGAGAAUUUCCAUUCCCAAUGUUAUCCAUGAAUCAUUGGCCCCCUUCUCGAAGGAAAGGUGAAAAAAAAUCAUUGUUGCCAAGUAGGGAUGGGGCCGAUCCAGUAUCGGUAUCAAUUUCUCUGGUAUCGGAAGAAAUUCGAUACAAAUAUAGAAAUUUCCGAUACAACCUUUGGAGUUUCCCGAUAUCAAUGAGCCAUGUCUGCGCUUUAACGUCGUCUGGUGAAAUGACUCCAAAAGGGAUCCCCGUCUGCUAGUCUGCUAGCUGGCUGCAAACUGGAAUGGAUUUCCUGAGCGUCUCAUAUAACUGUCUCGUUGAGCCGCGCCUCCGUUCAGGAA
ensembl:lncRNA